rnacentral:rRNA from 1 species
AUUCCUACGGGAGGCAGCAGUGGGGAAUUUUGGACAAUGGGGGCAACCCUGAUCCAGCCAUGCCGCGUGCGGGAAGAAGGCCUUCGGGUUGUAAACCGCUUUUAUUCGGAAAGAAGGAGUGGGGGUUAAUACCUCUCAUGACAGACGGUACCGGAUGAAUAAGCACCGGCUAACUACGUGCCAGCAGCCGCGGUAAUACGUAGGGUGCGAGCGCUAAUCGGAAUUACUGGGCGUAAAGCGUGCGCAGGCGGUUCGUUAAGUCAGCUGUGAAAGCCCCGGGCUUAACCUGGGAAUGGCGGUUGAAACUGGCGAACUUGAAUCUGGCAGAGGGGGGUGGAAUUCCACGUGUAGCAGUGAAAUGCGUAGAGAUGUGGAGGAACACCGAUGGCGAAGGCAGCCCCCUGGGCUGAGAUUGACGCUCAGGCACGAAAGCGUGGGGAGCAAACAGGAUUAGAUACCCUGGUAGUCCACGCCCUAAACGAUGUCAACUAGGUGUUGGGGGAGCAAUCUCUUGGUACCGCAGCUAACGCGUGAAGUUGACCGCCUGGGGAGUACGGUCGCAAGAUUAAAACUCAAAGGAAUUGACGGGGACCCGCACAAGCGGUGGAUGAUGUGGAUUAAUUCGAUGCAACGCGAACACCUUACCUACCCUUGACAUGUCCGGAAUCCUGGAGAGAUUCGGGAGUGCUCGAAAGAGAACCAGAACACAGGUGCUGCAUGGCCGUCGUCAGCUCGUGUCGUGAGAUGUUGGGUUAAGUCCCGCAACGAGCGCAACCCUUGUCAUUAGUUGCUACGAAAGGGCACUCUAAUGAGACUGCCGGUGACAAACCGGAGGAAGGUGGGGAUGACGUCAGGUCCUCAUGGCCCUUAUGGGUAGGGCUACACACGUCAUACAAUGGCCGGUACAGAGGGCUGCCAACCCGCGAGGGGGAGCCAAUCCCAGAAAACCGGUCGUAGUCCGGAUCGCAGUCUGCAACUCGACUGCGUGAAGUCGGAAUCGCUAGUAAUCGCGGAUCAGCUUGCCGCGGUGAAUACGUUCCCGGGCCUUGUACACACCGCC